UCUCAUUAUCUUGUUUUCUGGUUGAUUGCCCUUUAUGCCACACAAUGCUAUUAAUGAUUAACAUUAAGGACAAAACUAAAUCUAACCAGGUUAUCAAUCAGAUUCCUUACUACGGAGUUGGUGGCACCCACUCAGCCAGGUCCCUGCAGGGGCAGGUUUCAUACUAUAUCCUCAGGGGCAGAGAGCGUGUCCUCUAAGCUCCAGCCCAUCGUAUCCAGAGAUCGCACUAGCAGUACGGACCAUCAAGCCCCACUCACAGCUGCACGACUGGGAGCCUUGAAGCCUAAUGGUCAGCCGCUGCCUGUCAGUUCCGAUCAUGUGAACUGGGAGACGCUCUCCGAACACGCGCCUGGCCUCGGAUGACAGACACCUCCUAUCUGCUAGGAUUCAUAAACACAGGAAGGCUGAUCAUUUCGUGGAGGGAUUCCUUCAGCAAGAAGAUCAAGGGAAACCUUGUUACGCCAAAUGCCUUACUAGUCGAAAGUAGCCAGGACACUGAAAACUGGAAACUAGUUAAUGGUUUGUAACAAGUCAGAAAUGAAGACGUUGGACCAAGAAAAUGACAUGAAGCAGCACUGGCUACAGGAGAAAAGAGCGGCCUGUCAGAAUCAGGCAAGGGCCGUGGUGACAGGUCGGCAUCCAUUCUACCUGCAAGUGAACUUCGCUUAACCAUCCACGGUGUGCAGUCCAGCGGCUCCAUGAGGAUGCCACUGUUUUCGUUUUUAAGAGAAAUAGUCUGUCACUCACUCUCUGCCCCAACACUGCAGCCGUAACGGUGCACCUCUGCCUACCCCAUUAUGUGCUCCAAAGGCGAGGCCACGAAAGACUUGAUAAAAAGCCAAGAACCCAGCGAUUGCCCACCGAGUUCCUUAAUACCAGUGGUUUCAAAAAAAUGAAGCCACUGGAUCUGAAAUAAGGCUAUCACUGUUUUUACUCAACGCUGUUCUAAUGUAAAGUUAUUUCGCAUUGUCUAUUUAAAGUGUUAGAAUAUCUCUAAACUAAUUUCCAACAGAGUAAUAGCUGUUAGAACGGUCUUCUAAACCAUUUCUCUCUGUUUUGUUCUAUUCCCAAUGUAUUUUAGGCGGCAUGACAGAAUAAACAUUUCAUAACCUUUUUUUUUUCUACUAAUGUCAUUGCAACCAGUGGGAGGUCUGUAUUUUCCACGCUGCGCUCCCACAUCUAGAAUGAUCUCUGAUAUAGAUUAGCUGUCCCUUAGUGAGCGAUGAAAGACAAAACCUUAGCCUCUUAAAGCCAGUCUCCUUUGACAGCAUGCGCAUAUUUACAUGAAAUAAGAAGCAAAUAUUUGUUCUUUUCAUACAAGCUGUCAACACAAACUCAGGUUGUUUAGAGACCUGUUCAGACAAACAGAAUUGGCAUUGGCUAUGUGACAGAUGAUAAGAGAUCAACAAUAGGUAAAAAUCAAAGACUAUUUAUAAGGAAGUAAAGAGCCCCCUGGGCACGGCUCAGUUGGC